AUGCAAGGAAAAGGAAAUGCAGCCCGUGUGGAAUCUCCAUUCUCGUAACCAAUUGAUUGUGGUCAUCAAGUAGAGUAAGUGGAAGGCAUCAAUGUGAAGCAUUAAAUUCAGAGGGUUAUCAUAUGGCAGUGGUAGGAGCCGAUACGUAUGCAAUGGCAUUGAAUAGAAUGGUAGCUGAAAAAACCACAGGUGAGAAGCAGGGUUUUUUUUAUUGCUCGUGUUGAUUUGAACGCAGAAGAAGAAUGAAGAUGUGUUGGGGCGACGGUUGGAUAUGGAUUGUUUUAUUAGGGUUUUGCGUGAAGUUGAGGAAGAAGAAAGGUGACAGUUGGAAUGAAGAUGUGUUAAGGAUGUCGGCUGAUACAAAAGCUUUGGGGUUAAGAAUGAUUUUUAAGAUCUGGGUACAAAACCUGAGGCGAUUGACUAAUUUAGGGUUCGAU
rnacentral:lncRNA from 1 species